rnacentral:rRNA from 1 species
GACGAACGCUGGCGGCGUGCCUAAUACAUGCAAGUCGAGCGAGUCUGCCUUGAAGAUCGGAGUGCUUGCACUCUGUGAAACAAGAUACAGGCUAGCGGCGGACGGGUGAGUAACACGUGGGUAACCUGCCCAAGAGAUCGGGAUAACACCUGGAAACAGAUGCUAAUACCGGAUAACAACAGAUGAUGCCUAUCAACUGUUUAAAAGAUGGUUCUGCUAUCACUCUUGGAUGGACCUGCGGUGCAUUAGCUAGUUGGUAGGGUAACGGCCUACCAAGGCGAUGAUGCAUAGCCGAGUUGAGAGACUGAUCGGCCACAUUGGGACUGAGACACGGCCCAAACUCCUACGGGAGGCAGCAGUAGGGAAUCUUCCACAAAGGACGCAAGUCUGAUGGAGCAACGCCGCGUGAGUGAAGAAGGGUUUCGGCUCGUAAAGCUCUGUUGUUGGUGAAGAAGGACAGGGGUAGUAACUGACCUUUGUUUGACGGUAAUCAAUUAGAAAGUCACGGCUAACUACGUG